rnacentral:rRNA from 1 species
AUCAUGCCGCGUGAGUGAUGAAGGCCUUCGGGUUGUAAAGCUCUUUUGUUAGGGACGAUAAUGACGGUACCUAACGAAUAAGCCCCGGCUAACUUCGUGCCAGCAGCCGCGGUAAUACGAAGGGGGCUAGCGUUGUUCGGAAUGACUGGGCGUAAAGGGAGCGUAGGCGGUUUGGAACGUUUGGUGUGAAAGUCCUGGGCUUAACCUGGGGACUGCAUUGAAAACGGCCAGACUUGAGGUAUAGAGGGGAAUAUGGAAUUGCGUGUGUAGAGGUGAAAUUCGUAGAUAUACGCAAGAACACCGAUGGCGAAGGCAGUAUUCUGGCUAUAACCUGACGCUAAGGCUCGAAAGCGUGGGGAGCAAACAGGAUUAGAUACCCUGGUAGUCCACGCUGUAAACGAUGAGUGCUAGAUGUGAGUCAGAGAUGAUUCGUGUCGCCGCUAACGCAUUAAGCACUCCGCCUGGGGAGUACGGUCGCAAGAUUAAAACUCAAAGGAAUUGACGGGGACCCGCACAAGCGGUGGAGUAUGUGGUUUAAUUCGAAGCAACGCGCAGAACCUUACCAGCUCUUGACAUGGGACGUAUGGACUUUAGAGAUCAAGUUCUUCACUUCGGGUGGCGUCCGCACAGGUGCU